UACCUGGUUGAUCCUGCCAGUAGUCAUAUGCUUGUCUCAAAGAUUAAGCCAUGCAAGUCUAAGUACGAGCUCUCGUACAGUGAAACUGCGAAUGGCUCAUUAAAUCAGUUAUGGUUCAUUUGAUCGUACAGUUUACUUGGAUAACUGUGGUAAUUCUAGAGCUAAUACAUGCGAGAAGCGCCGACCUCGCGGGAGGCGUGCAUUUAUCAGACCAAAAACCGGCCGCGUCUUCGGGCGCGUUCGCCUUGGUGACUCUGGAUAACUUUGCGGAUCGCACGGUCUAGCACCGGCGACGGAUCAUUCAAGUGUCUGCCCUAUCAACUUUCGUCGGUACGGUAUUUGCCUACCGAGGUUCUUACGGGUGACGGGGAAUCAGGGUUCGAUUCCGGAGAGGGAGCCUGAGAAACGGCUACCACAUCCAAGGAAGGCAGCAGGCGCGCAAAUUACCCAUUCCCGACGCGGGGAGGUAGUGACGAAAAAUAACAAUGCAGGACUCGUUCGAGGCCCUGUAAUUGGAAUGAGUACACUUUAAAAGCUUUAACGAGUAUCCAUUGGAGGGCAAGUCUGGUGCCAGCAGCCGUGGUAAUUCCAGCUCCAAAAGUAUAUAUUUAAGUUGUUGCGGUUAAAAAGCUCGUAGUUGGAUUUUGGGCGCAGGCGGCCGGUCCGUCGCAAGGCGUGUACUGGACGUCCUGGCCUUCCCUCCGGUUCUCCGCCGGUGCUCUUGACUGAGUGUUUUUGGCGGCCGGAACGUUUACUUUGAAAAAAUUAGAGUGUUCAAAGCAGGCUCUCGAGCCUGGAUAAUGGUGCAUGGAAUAAUGGAAUAGGACCUCGGUUCUAUUUUGUUGGUUUUCGGAGCGCGAGGUAAUGAUUAAGAGGGACAGACGGGGGCAUUCGUACUGUGCCGUUAGAGGUGAAAUUCUUGGAUCGGCGCAAGACGAACGACUGCGAAAGCAUUUGCCAAGAAUGUUUUCUUUAAUCAAGAGCGAAAGUCAGAGGUUCGAAGACGAUCAGAUACCGUCCUAGUUCUGACUAUAAACGAUGCCAACUAGCGAUCGGGGGGCGUUACAUUGACGACCCCUCCGGCAGCUUACGGGAAACCAAAGUCUUUGGGUUCCGGGGGAAGUAUGGUUGCAAAGCUGAAACUUAAAGGAAUUGACGGAAGGGCACCACCAGGAGUGGAGCCUGCGGCUUAAUUUGACUCAACACGGGA
rfam:Ciona savignyi cont_42553, whole genome shotgun sequence.